rnacentral:rRNA from 1 species
GACGAACGCUGGCGGCGUGCUUAACACAUGCAAGUCGAACGGAAAGGCCCUGCUUUUGUGGGGUGCUCGAGUGGCGAACGGGUGAGUAACACUUGAGUAACCUGUCAUUGACUUUGGGAUAACUUCAGGAAACUGGGGCUAAUACCGGAUAGGAGCUCUUGCUGUAUGGUGGGGGUUGGAAAGUUUCGGCGGUUGGGGAUGGACUCGCGUCUUAUCAGCUUGUUGGUGGGGUAGUGGCUUACCAAGGCUUUGACGGGUAGCCGGCCUGAGAGGGUGACCGGCCACAUUGGGACUGAAAUACGGCCCAGACUCCUACGGGAGGCAGCAGUGGGGAAUAUUGCACAAUGGGCGGAAGCCUGAUGCAGCAACGCCGCGUGCGGGAUGACGGCCUUCGGGUUGUAAACCGCUUUCGCCUGUGACGAAGCGUGAGUGACGGUAAUGGGUAAAGAAGCACCGGCUAACUACGUG